rnacentral:rRNA from 1 species
CAGUAACGCGUGAGAAUCUAGCUCUAGGUCGGGGACAACAGUUGGAAACGACUGCUAAUACCGGAUGUGCCGGAAGGUGAAAGAUUUAUUGCCUAGAGAUGAGCUCGCGUCUGAUUAGCUAGUUGGUGGUGUAAGGGACUACCAAGGCGACGAUCAGUAGCUGGUCUGAGAGGAUGAUCAGCCACACUGGGACUGAGACACGGCCCAGACUCCUACGGGAGGCAGCAGUGGGGAAUUUUCCGCAAUGGGCGAAAGCCUGACGGAGCAAUACCGCGUGAGGGAGGAAGGCUCUUGGGUUGUAAACCUCUUUUCUCAGGGAAGAAUUCAAUGACGGUACCUGAGGAAUAAGCAUCGGCUAACUCCGUGCCAGCAGCCGCGGUAAUACGGAGGAUGCAAGCGUUAUCCGGAAUGAUUGGGCGUAAAGCGUCCGCAGGUGGCUGUGUAAGUCUGCUGUUAAAGAGUCUAGCUCAACUAGAUAAAAGCAGUGGAAACUACACGGCUAGAGUGCGUUCGGGGCAGAGGGAAUUCCUGGUGUAGCGGUGAAAUGCGUAGAGAUCAGGAAGAACACCGGUGGCGAAAGCGCUCUGCUAGGCCGCAACUGACACUGAGGG